CGGGGCAGGGCGGGGGCCCGCUGCGCCCCGUGCUGUGUGACCCCAAGGCCGCCACUCGCCCUCUCUGAGCUGCUGGGGAGCAUGGGAGAGGGCAGCCCAGACCUGGGGCCUUUUUGGGGGCUUCUGGGGCGCUGGGUCCCAGCCCCAGCUCCGUUCUGUCCCGUCUCAGCUCUGAAUGGGUUGCUCUCCCUCUCUGAGCCUCAGUUUGUGCACCUGUGGAAUGGUAGUGGGCUGCCCUUCAGGGUGAUGGGGGCUGGUGUGGCUGGAUCCCGCAGAGGGGCCGCAUAGACGGGCAGGGCCUUAGGCCCUUGGCCGGACUGGGUCUGGCCUGGGAGCCUCUUGUUUGUUGUCUGGGUGGGCAGCGCAGGGCACGGACCCCAGCUCCGGUCCGGGUGUGGUGCCGAGCUUCCUGCCCAGGGCUGUGCUCUCGGCCCCGGAGGACGCGACUCUUCACUGCCCGCCAGGUGAGACGACCUUCAUUCUGGACUCUGGAGCUGUGGCCUUGGGAUAGGACUCCACGCCCCUGGGAGGGCCUCUGGCCCCCUGUGACCCCUGCAAGACUAGUGCCCCAGCCCACCAUCGUCUCUUGAGAAGUAGGGGGGUAUUGAGCACCGCCGCAGCCCCCAGGCCUCAGCCUGGCAGGAAGUCACCAAAGCAGCCACGGUGUCAGGGUGAGGUGAGGCUGGCCGGCUCCCCUCCCAUCCACGGGCCUCAGCGAAGCCAGUACUUAGCUGACGCUUCACACCCAGCUCAGAGGGCAUAGAAUCUGCCUGCGGUGCCGGAGCGCAGGGCUCAUCCCUCGGUGCAGAAGACCCCCUGGAGGAGGGAAAUGGCAACCCGCUCCAAAGUAUUCUGGCCUGGAGAACCCCAUGGACAGAGGAGCCUGGCGGGCUGCAGUCCGUGGGGUUGCAGAGUCAGACACGACUGAGCAGUUUACAUGUUCACACUUUCCAACCCACUUCAUCUCUCAUUGCACUGGACGGCCAGUGACUUUCCCAAGACCCCACGCAGGUGAGAUGGGGCAGGCCGGCCCCAGAGCCCGUGAGGCCGACACAGUGGCCCUCACCCGUUGGUCACAGGCCAGCUGCCUGUGAGACACACACACACAGACACACACCCGUGCCUGGAAGAAAGGCCCUCGGGGGUGGAAUUCAUGGGAACAGGGGAGCAGCUGACAGCUUCCUCUUGCAGACACAGAGAGUCCUCACAUUGCUCCCCGCAGGCUUCAGA